CUACAUUACAAAAACCAUCGAAAAAGAAGUGUUGCAACCUUUUGUUAAACUAUGUUAACUAAUUGGUAUAACAUAAUAAAUGCAAAUACGUUUUCUGAAAUACUUAAUAAAAUAAUGCAUUAUUUAUUUAUAGAUGUAUACAUAUAAAAGAAAAUAAAUAACAAAAAUUUUCUAAAUCCCGUCGCAAUGUGUGCUAAGUUUGUGUAGUAGAAGUACGUAUAAAGUUGUUAUGCAAGAAUGUCACACAAUAAUUUUAUUGCGUAACGUUCUUGCUGAACAAGUUUGUAGAUACUUCAACUACAUAAACUUAUUGUUAGCACACAUUACGGAUGCACUUAAAAAAUUUCCGCUCGAAUAGUCUACGAAAGCAAUAAGAAAAAUAGACAAAUAAACAAAUUUCCUGCUUGUAUAUUUUCUACUUGGUUGACGUAUCUAAACAAAAUUUGCCCAAUUUUUAUAAACCCAAUUAGAAAAUUUUUUGCCUAUAAUAUAUUUCAGAAACAUUUCCGUUGCAUAUUAUAUCGCAAAGUUUUAAAAACAUUUCUAUAGCAAUAUUUCACAAGACAUUUUAAUCCUUUCAUUUCUAAACGGUAAUAUCGCAUACGAGGUAACGAUUAGAAUUUAAAACCUUAUGUGCACCAUAAGAUCCUUUCAAUCACGAAAUCAAAUUUUAUUCGCAUCGACUACAAUAUUAUAAUCAUAACACAGUCACGACAUCAUAUCACAUAAACAAUCACCGAUUUCUGAACAUCGUUAUUAGAUUUCUCGUUUAGAAUGAUUAUUUUAUCCAAGGCUGUCUCUCGCACGUUUAAUCGAUUCGAUUCUUUACUAUUUUCUCUUUUAAAAUCAAUUCAAUCUCUAUUAAAAUUAUAAAAAGUCGUUUCUCAAGAAGGUCGCGCUUAAUGAAUGUUUACAAACUGUUCAGACCAAACACGUUUUCGUAAUGUAUAAAUAGAUACUGUUACGUACGAUCUACACUUGCGAUACGUCGUGCACAACAUACAUAAUACAUGCACAAGCGGAUGCAAACACGCGAAUUCGGACGGCACGGUAGAUGGUCAAGUGCAUGGACACAAAAAGAGAAGAGAAAGUCUCGGACAUCACGGUGUUGCAAUCGUAAAAAACAAAUUAUAAACGACUCAUUAAAAAGAUAUCGGUGUCUCCUCCUGAGCUCGUUACAACCGUCCGUCUCGAUGCCUCGGCAAUUAUUUUGCGACGCUUGGGAUUUGGCGAUCCACGUUGUCCAAUAGAGGCAAAGAUUUUGGAAUGGAGACCAAUCUAGACAGAACUCGGAAAACCCGAGAAUAUAAAUGAGAUUGGCGGAAGUUUCCUUCUCUCAUUACGUCCGAAACCACGAUAGUGUUCGAGUCUUCUCAAUAUACCUCGCGACUCAGGGUGACUACACACCUAGGUUACAUCGAUCCCGGUUACCGAGUACCAGUGUCGUUCAAGUGAAAAUCAUAAACAUUUAUAAUCAUAAUCUUUUCCAUAAAAAAAAACAUUGUGAUGUCUCUUUCCUUAUUAAAAAAAUAAAAAAAAAAUCACAAGAAUACGAACAAGUUACUGAUGUACAGCAGUUCUUCAACAGUAUACCGAGACAUGUACAAAGGAAAUGAGUAUUCGACU